rnacentral:rRNA from 1 species
GUGUCAGCCGCCGCGGUAAUACGGAGGGUGCAAGCGUUAAUCGGAAUUACUGGGCGUAAAGCGUGUGUAGGUGGUUCGUUAAGUCGGAUGUGAAAGCCCCGGGCUCAACCUGGGAACUGCAUUCGAUACUGACGGACUAGAGUUUAGCAGAGGAAAGCGGAAUUCCGGGUGUAGCGGUGAAAUGCGUAGAUAUCCGGAGGAACACCAGUGGCGAAGGCGGCUUUCUGGGUUAAAACUGACACUGAGGCACGAAAGCGUGGGUAGCAAACAGGAUUAGAUACCCUGGUAGUCCACGCCCUAAACGAUGUCGACUGGCUGUCGGGUUCAUUUGGAACUUGGUAGCGAAGCUAACGCGUUAAGUCGACCGCCUGGGGAGUACGGCCGCAAGGUUGAAACUCAAAUGAAUUGACGGGG